AACGAACGCUGGCGGCAUGCCUAACACAUGCAAGUCGAACGAGACCUUCGGGUCUAGUGACGCACGGGUGCGUAACGCGUGGGAACCUGCCCUUAGGUUCGGAAUAACUCCCCGACAGGGGUGCUAAUACCGGAUAAUGUCUUCGGACCAAAGAUUUAUCGCCUUUGGAUGGGCCCGCGUUGGAUUAGCUAGUUGGUAGGGUAAAAGCCUACCAAGGCGACGAUCCAUAGCUGGUCUGAGAGGAUGAUCAGCCACACUGGGACUGAGACACGGCCCAGACUCCUACGGGAGGCAGCAGUGGGUGAUAUUGGACAAUGGGCGAAAGCCUGAUGCAGCAAUGCCGGGUGAGUGAUGUAGGCCUUAGGGUUGUAAAGCGCUUUUACCCGGGAUGAUAAUGACAGUACCGGGAGAAUAAGCUCCGGCUAACUCCGUG
rnacentral:rRNA from 1 species